rnacentral:rRNA from 1 species
ACGUUAGCGGCGGACGGGCGAGUAACACGUGGGUAACCUACCUAUAAGACUGGGAUAACUUCGGGAAACCGGAGCUAAUACUGGAUAAUAUUUCGAACCGCAUGGUUCGAUAGUGAAAGGUGGUUUUGCUAUCACUUAUAGAUGGACCCGCGCCGUAUUAGCUAGUUGGUAAGGUAACGGCUUACCAAGGCGACGAUACGUAGCCGACCUGAGAGGGUGAUAGGCCACACUGGAACUGAGACACGGUCCAGACUCCUACGGGAGGCAGCAGAC